rnacentral:lncRNA from 1 species
GGAGGUUUGGUCUGACCUCCAGAAUACAAUAAGAAAGGAGAAAAAUAGAGAUGACUCACUUUCACAAUUAAAAAAAUAAAAAUGUACAAUUAUAAAAAAUUAAGAAAUAAAAAUAAAUGAUCAAAAUCUUACUAAUCAUCAGUAUUCACUAUUCAGUAGUGUUUGUAUCAUCAUCAUCAGAGGAUGUUGUAUCAUAUCCACCUUUAUCUUGAAGUCUCGCCUCAGCAUCCAACCAAUCUUUGAAGCAG